AGCCUAUUAGCUUAAAGAUAAAGCCAAAUACUUCUAAUAUUUUGAUUUUAGUUCAAAUCUGAAAUAGGUCA
rfam:Chaetomium globosum CBS 148.51 scaffold_10 mitochondrial scaffold, whole genome shotgun sequence.